CCUACGGGAGGCAGCAGUGGGGAAUAUUGCACAAUGGGGGCAACCCUGAAGCAGCGACGCCGCGUGAGUGAAGAAGUACUUCGUUGUGUAAAACUCUUUCAGCAGGGGAGUAAAUGAAGGUACCUGAGUAAUAAUCCACGGCUAACUACGUGCCAGCAGCCGCGGUAAUACGUAGGGGGCGAGCGUUAUCCGGAUUUACUGGGUGUAAAGGGGGCGUAGACGGGAGUGCAAGUCUGGAGUGAAAGGCGGAGGCUCAACCCUCAGACUGCACUUGAAACUGUAAGGCUGGAGUUCAGGAGAGGUAAGUGGAAUUCGUAGUGUAGCGGUGAAAUGCGUAGAUAUUAGGAAGAACACCGGUGGCGAAGGCGGCUUACUGGACUGUCACUGACGUUGAGGCUCGAAAGCGUGGGGAGCAAACAGGAUUAGAUACCCGAGUAGUC
rnacentral:rRNA from 1 species